rnacentral:rRNA from 1 species
UACGGGGGGGGUAAGCGUUGUUCGGAAUUACUGGGCGUAAAGGGCUCGUAGGCGGCCAACUAAGUCGGACGUGAAAUCCCUCAGCUUAACUGGGGAACUGCGUCCGAUACUGGAUGGCUUGGAUUUGGGAGAGGGAUGCGGAAUUCCAGGUGUAGCGGUGAAAUGCGUAGAUAUCAGGAGGAACACCUGCGGUGUAGACGGCUUACUGGACCAUAACUGACGCUGAGGCACGAAAGCGUGGGUAGCAAACAGG